rnacentral:rRNA from 1 species
AUACGGAGGGUGCAAGCGGUAAUCGGAAUUACUGGGCGUAAAGCGUACGUAGGCGGUUCGUUAAGUUAGAUGUGAAAGCCCCGGGCUUAACCUGGGAACUGCAUUUAAAACUGGCGAACUAGAGUUGAGUAGAGGGGAGUUGAAUUUCAGGUGUAGCGGUGAAAUGCGUAGAGAUCUGAAGGAACACCAGUGGCGAAGGCGACUCCCUGGACUCGAACUGACGCUGAGGUACGAAAGCGUGGGUAGCAAACGGGAUUAGAAACCCUUGUAGUCC